rnacentral:lncRNA from 1 species
UGGCCGAGCUUCUACAAUAAGCGGACUUCAUCCAGACUCCUACGAGAGCCGGACUCCAUCCGAACUUCUACAGCAGAAUUGAAUCUCAGACUCCUCCAACAUUCGACCUUCCCCAGUGUCCUCAAGACUCCUCCAGUGAACGAACCUCCACAGCACCAUCCGAACUCCACUGUCGGACGAUCCUCUGUCGGAUUCCUCAUGAAAUCAGACCUCUCCGGCAGACAAUCUACAGAUGAGCUUCCACAUCAGGC